rnacentral:rRNA from 1 species
AUGCAAAAGCACCAAGCCCUACUACCGGCGAUGAUGCUCACCGACGAGUACAAGGGCGACAAGGCCGUGGAGGCGCACGGCAACACCAAGUUGCACGUCAUCCACACCAACGACAAGAAGCAGAUGGCGAUCUCCCUCACGCAAACAAACACCAGAGAGCAGAGGAGAAUCAUGGCGGAUGCACCUCUGUACAAGCAGCGCCGCAAGUACACUAGGGAGCUCCACGAUGUCCACCUCCACGGCAAUCACAAUCUCCACGUCCUUUGCACAAGCAAGGGCAAAGACAUGGACAAGAUGUUGUCCACGUUCAGGAGGAAGCUCGGCGGAAUGCCCGUCAAACUAGUCGGCGUUGAUGUCGAGUACACACACUACGAGAAGCCACAGCGGGCAGCAGUGCUACAGCUAUGCAUAGAAAAAGAAUGUCUUGUCUACCACAUCUCUGCAGCUAAAGAUAGGCCAAUGGAACUAGACAAAUUCCUCAUGAAUGAUGAGUACACCUUCGUCGGAUUCGCUAUUGAAGGAGACAAAAGCAAGCUGAAGGUAUCUGGUUUGGAGAUCAACUCCGACAACUACAUUGAUAUUCAGGUGGAAUGGAGAGACCCAUACAAUAAAAAUAAGUUUGACUCUUUGGUUGAUGUUGUCGGCAGGAUGAUAGACAUUCACUACCAUGACAUGAAGAAAAAAAUU